rnacentral:rRNA from 1 species
AUACGACCGUACCGCAAACCGACACUGGUGCGCGAGAUGAGUAUUCUAAGGCGCUUGAGAGAACUCAGGAGAAGGAACUCGGCAAAUUGACACCGUAACUUCGGAAGAAGGUGUGCCCUAUUAGUGUGUAGUGAACAACGAAGCAUGAAUGGGUUGCAAAAAAUCGGUGGCUGCGACUGUUUAUUAAAAACACAGCACUCUGCAAACACGAAAGUGGACGUAUAGGGUGUGACGCCUGCCCGGUGCUGGAAGAUUAAAUGAUGGGGUGCAAGCUCUUGAUUGAAGUCCCAGUAAACGGCGGCCGUAACAAUAACGGUCCUAAGGUAGCGAAAUUCCUUGUCGGGUAAGUUCCGACCUGCACGAAUGGCGUAACGAUGGCCACACUGUCUCCUCCUGAGACUCAGCGAAGUUGAAAUGUUUGUGAUGAUGCAAUCUCCCCGCGGAAAGACGGAAAGACCCCAUGAACCUUUACUGUAGCUUUGUAUUGGACUUUGAACAGAUCUGUGUAGGAUAGGUGGGAGGCUUUGAAGCAGGGUCGCUAGAUCUUGUGGAGCCAACGUUGAAAUACCACCCUGGUGUGUUUGAGGUUCUAACCUAGGUCCAUUAUCUGGAUCGGGGACAGUGCAUGGUAGGCAGUUUGACUGGGGCGGUCUCCUCCCAAAGCGUAACGGAGGAGUUCGAAGGUACGCUAGUUACGGUCGGACAUCGUGACGAUAGUGCAAUGGCAUAAGCGUGCUUAACUGCGAGACUGACAAGUCGAGCAGAUGCGAAAGCAGGACAUAGUGAUCCGGUGGUUCUGUAUGGAAGGGCCAUCGCUCAACGGAUAAAAGGUACUCUGGGGAUAACAGGCUGAUACCGCCCAAGAGUUCAUAUCGACGGCGGUGUUUGGCACCUCGAUGUCGGCUCAUCUCAUCCUGGGGCUGUAGCCGGUCCCAAGGGUAUGGCUGUUCGCCAUUUAAAGAGGUACGUGAGCUGGGUUUAAAACGUCGUGAGACAGUUUGGUCCCUAUCUUCCGUGGGCGCUGCAGAUUUGAGGAAGCCUGCUCCUAGUACGAGAGGACCGGAGUGGACACACCUCUGGUGUAUCGGUUGUCACGCCAGUGGCAUUGCCGAGUAGCUAAGUGUGGAAGAGAUAACCGCUGAAAGCAUCUAAGCGGGAAACUCGUUUCAAGAUGAGAUCUGCCGGGGCCUUGAGCCCCCUAAAGAGUCGUUCAAGACCAGGACGUUGAUAGGUCAGGUGUGGAAGCG